rnacentral:rRNA from 1 species
GGACAAGAACCCAAGGGCUGAUGGUGUAUAACUUGGCACUCAGAGGCGAUGAAGGACGUGGCUACCGACGAAACGCUCCGGGGAGCUGGCAGCAAGCGAUGAUCCGGAGGUCUCCGAAUGGGGCAACCCACCUGGAUGGAAAUCCAGGUAUCAUAGGCUGAAUACAUAGGCCUAUGAGGCGAACCCGGGGAAGUGAAACAUCUCAGU